rnacentral:rRNA from 1 species
AUACGUAGGUAGCGAGCGUUAUCCGGAAUUAUUGGGCGUAAAGGGUGCGUAGGCGGUUUCUUAAGUCUGAUGUGAAAGCCCCCGGCUCAACCGGGGAGGGUCAUUGGAAACUGGGAAACUUGAGUGCAGAAGAGGAGAGUGGAAUUCCAUGUGUAGCGGUGAAAUGCGUAGAUAUUAGGAGGAACACCAGUUGCGAAGGCGGCUUUCUGGACUGUAACUGACACUGAGGCACGAAAGCGUGGGGAGC